rnacentral:sRNA from 1 species
AUGCACUAGACAUACAAUAUUGAUUUUUCAUAUUCCUCAAGGCUCUAACCCUUUGCAACUCGGAUAGUCCUUUAACCAUCUAAUCUACACCCCUACACUAAGAAACUGGGUGUUGAGAAUAGUUCCAUAAAAGUGAGUCAAAAGCUGGCAUCAUUCAACUGUCACACGAAGUCAUGUCACUCCGCCUCUGGACUUUUGGUUUUCCCAGUUUUCGGAUUAGAGCGAAACUGUGAGUGUUAGGCUGGGCAAAAACAUUUUCCUUGCACAGCGGGCUUGUUGGGCGUACAUUAAUCCUAAACAGGAAUACUGACCUUCCUCAAAAUACAAUUUCAAUCCCCUAUUUUGCCCGUGCUUAUUACCAUUCUGUCGCGAUUGAAUAGGAUUAACCUCCACCCGGCUUCUUGCUCAGUUGUUCUAUCCAUUCCCACAUUCUCAAAUAUCAAAGGAACAGCAGCUUUUAAUGGUGGAUUUGGCUUAUUCUGCUAUUUACAUGUACUCCUCCAGAGCUGGACAAAACAGGUGGAUUGGAAAAGCAAAACUUUUCAAACAGGACAAUCUUGUGGGCCCGCUCCUCCACGCUCUGAGAUGCUAGCUUCUAAAAUUCCUUGAACUUUGAGGUGGAAUUCCAAUGGAGCAAUUCCAUACAGUGCUCCAGGCUGAUCUGAGCUUUUGAAAGUUCUUUAGAAAAGGUAGAUCUGUUCUUCCCAAGCCUUCUCCUCUUUAGCCCGAGGUUCAGUGAUAUAGCAGAUAGCGCAUUUCACAUCUCAGCUUGUUCAAAAUCUACAAGCAUAGGGCGAUUGCAGUCCUCAUUCCAUAAAAUAUUUCGUGGCUCGACAUCACGGUGCAGUACACCUGCAAGGUGAAUCGCUUGAAGAGACUGUGAUGUCAUCUCAAUCACACAUGCUGAAUUAUCCAAUUUCAUCAUUUCCGAGAUGGGCUUUCCCGCCCAGCUCAAAAGGAGCAUAUGGGUAUAAACUCCCUUGUCAUAGUAAUACAGGUAUUUUGGG